CUGUAAGUGACUAAUAAAAAAGCCUCUGAGAGCCUGAUGAAUUGGCCUCGACAUCUCACCACUUCCUCCCAGGUUUUAAACGAGAAACUGAAAGACAUCCAGCCUCACCUGCUCAAAUGAAAUUCCACUUCCUCUGAUCGGAGGGCCGUAAAAUCUGCUUUUAUCUGCCGCCCUUGCCUUUUCUGAAAGAAAUCCAAUUUAGCAAGUGGAACGUGAAGUCAUUCCAGCUGAUAAAUAAAUGCUGGUAGAAGCCCUGGCGAGCCCAGCAUCUUGGCACCUGCAGAUUUGCGAAGAUGGAGGUGGUGGUGACCAAGUCCUCAAGAGGCCAUUCAUCCUAGGGCCACCUGGAGCCACCCAUGGCUGUUGCAAUGGGACCUGCAGCUUCUGGGGGAGAGCAGAGGGGGCUGGAGGGUGACCAGUUCUGUCACCUAUGGAUUGUCUGGUUUUGUGAGCCUAAGCUGGGGAUAGAAGUGCUGUUGGCUCUCUAUCAACCAACUGCGCAUCAAAAACAUUUUAAAAUUUGUGUCCAUACUGAACGUGCCCAGGUUUUUCUUGUCAUUGGUGCAUAAACAAUAGGGUAUUCUGAGUCAUCUAGAGGUGAUUUGAAGCGUGUGGGAAGAUGUACAUAGGCUAUAUGCAAAUACUGUACCAUUUCAUAACACACCGAGCUCCUGUAGAUGGUGGAGGGUGGGGUGCAGAUCCCGGAUCCAACAACUGCAGACGCGGACAAUUGUACCGUGUGUCAGGAUGAAGACAGGAGGCGAUACAAAUAAAAAAGGAUUCUGAGAUGUCCUAAAUUUAAUUAUAAGGAUGGUGGAGGGAAGAGAUAAGCUAAUUGGCUUUCAGCUAUGGACUGAAAUAUGUUCUUCUCCACAUUCCUGAAUGUGCAUUGAAACCUUGACUCAAAAUCCCUGGCACGAACCCCAGGCGCCGUCCCCACCGCUCAUGGGUGAAUCACCAACCCACCACUUCUGAGGCAACGGACUGUCUCCUCACAGACUGGACUGUCCUCCUCUCAGAUCUCCUGCUAAUUCUCCGGCUCCUCUUUGAGUGAGGACCCCAGGCCAAUAACAUCAGGGUCAACAUGGAGCUUUUUAGAAGAGCAUACAGGUGGGCUUCAGCCCAGACCUACUGAUCAGAAACCCUGGGGGUGAAGCUCAGCUGUUUGCAAGUCCCCAUGCCCUCCAGAUGCCCUCCAUGCUCACUGAAGUUGCAGAAUCACUUGUAGGAUGCCUGGGAUAAUGUGACAAGGAGGGAGUUAUCCUUCCUGGUGAAUGAAGGACACUUUUCUGGUAUUGAGAGACAGCAGAGGUCAGAAGCAUAUUCCACAGCUCAAGUGCUAAGGUGUGGGUGUGGCUUGAGUGUCCCCCAAGGAUUCCUGUGUUGACAUUUAUCCUCACUGUUGAGGUGUCUGACUGUAGUGGUGGGUCUUUGGGAGGUGACCAGGAUUAGCAAGGGUCUUCAGGGUGGGGUCCCAUGAUUGAAUCCUGGUGGCUUCCUAAGAAGAGUGAGGGACCAGAAGAGACAUGCACAUGCUUCCUGUCUCUCGCCAUGUGAUGCCCUGUCCACCUCAGCACUCUGCCGGCAAGAAGGCCGUCACCAAGGCAGUUCUCUGACCUUGCAGAGCCGUGAGCCAAAAAGCAGUGAAUAGGUCCAGCCACACUGAAGGGGAGGAGAUAACAGAAGGCUCUGAGCAUCUGGAGGUGAGAACCACAGGAGCCAUGUCAGAAAUCCCUCCCUCACCUUGGCAUUUCUCCGCAGUGUCAGCAUCUUCUAGUGCCCCUAAUUCAUAUCCAUCCACCCUCUGCAGACAAAUUGAGCUGCAGAAAUAAGCCUCUCUCUGCAUCAUGAAGCUAGUUCCCUAAACCAAGGUAUCAGUAAGAAUGAAGAAGGAGCAUUUAUUCCCCACUAGCCUGGUUUCCCUGAGGAGGGAAAAAACCAGAGCACUCGUGGUCCCUCUGCCCUCCCUUCCUGUUCUCCACCAGUAGGAGUCCAGGGAGCAGGUGCUGGGUUAGACCUGCUCCACUUCUCCCCCUUGCUUUUCCGCUUGCCUGUGGGAAGGCAGUCCUUUGGCCUGCCUCGAAGGCCGUUGUAGCAGAGAUGUGCCCUUGAGGGGGUGUUUGAGUGGGUGAAAUUCGGCUCAGGAGAGGUUCAGGAAACUCUUCAUCAUGUCUAAGACAAGGGCUCCAACAAAGCAGCACUUGGAUCCCUGCAGGUCUGAGUCUUGGAUGUCUGCUCCUCGGGACAGUGCCUCAACACAGCUGAUGUGUGCUGAAGUGGACGGGUCAGGAAUGAGUGCCACCAAGAAGAGGGCUUAUGAUCCAUAGUCCCCAGGGGAAAGGGGCAUGACAUUCCGCAGGGAACCACAGGGGACACCAGGGUUGGUCACCAGGCAGAGGGAGAAGGGGACAGUGGGCACAGCCUUGACUGAGGUUAGUGUGGGAAUGGAUAAGGAGGCAGGGCAAGCAGUCUUAGGAUUGGCAGUUUGAGUCACUUCAGUGAGCUCGGGGGCAUUGGCGCCAUGCUAACCUGAGCCACCUGGCCUUGGGUGAUUAGAGGAGAUAGGUACUAGUCACCUAGAACGUGAGUGCCUGAUGAAGGAGGUGGAUGGGGGCAUGCACUUGGAAAAUGGGUCCCCAGGAAGACCCCUCCCAAGGGCAGGGCUGGCUGAGGUAACAAGGCCAAGGCAGGGUGUGUUGGGUCUGUUACUGAGUUGUCCCAAACAAGGCACAUCUAGAAACAUGGUUAUACAGCUUCCCUUUUAGGAAGUUUCAGGUCACAACAAGAUGGACAUGAUUCGGCUUGCUUUCAGGAAGCCCUCUUUGUCCACUCUGUUAAGAAGUGUCCCAAGGGACAAGGGAGAAGCAUGCAGCCCGGAGGUGAGACCAUUGAAACUGUCCAGGCAAGGAGAGGCUGACAGACCCAGGCCCACGGGGAAUGGGAAGUUGAGGGAUAGAUGCGGAGGGUAGAGCCAGAGAGAUCAGCUGAUUGGCCAGAGGCGAGGGGCAGUAAAGGCGGAGCUGAGUACCUGUGACCUGCACAACUGGAAGGCUGAGUUUGCCGUCAGCUCAGAUUAGGGCAGCUGCAGGUAGAGAGGAUUGUGGAGGGAGGAGAAGGAGUUCAGGUGUAGACGUGUCAAGGGAGAGGUGCUUAUUAGACAUCACAGCAGACAGAAUAAUGGCCUCUAAAAAUAUCAUGCCUCAGUCCUUGGAACCUCUAAAUACUUACCCUACAUGCAGAGGAGAAGGUUGCAUAUGUAACUAAAGUAAUUAACCAGUUGAUUUUGAGAAGGGAAGAUUAUCCUGGAUUGUCUGGAUAGAUGAACCCCAUAUCACCAUAAGCAUCCCUAAAUGUCAAAAAGGGAGAUAGAAGAAGAUUGGUGUCAUAUCUAAGUGACAUGAGGACUCAACUGGCCAUUGCUCUCUUGAAAGGUGGAGGAAAGAAACUAUGCAUGGAAACAGAUCCUCCUCCGGUAGGGCCUCCUGAGGUAUGCAUCCCCAUGCAUUCCUUGACUUUAGUCCACUGAGGCCAAUCUUGGACUUCUGACCUCCAGAGUAACAUGAAGAGAAAUUUGGUUCAUCUGAAGACACCAAGAUUGGGGUAACUUGUUACAGCAACAAUUGGAAACUAACACAGACCUUCAAGUUGCUGGUGGAUAAACAAACAAACAAUCAUACAAAUAUGUAAAUACGUAAAUUGAACGUUCAAUGAGGAACAGAGCAAGAGAUGAAAGAAAGAGGGAGGGAGGAGAAGGAGAGAUGCAUGAGGUAUUGUUCCUGGGUACGGGUGUAGACCCUGAAGCACUGGUUCUUGUGGCCCCUCCUUCAAGAGAUAACCAGUUAUCCUUCCUCAGCUAUGAAAUUAAUGCAUCUUUUUUUCUGUUGAAUAUAAUUUGGAUCAGGUUUCCUUAACUAGCCACCAAAUGAGUCCUGACUCACUCAGGUGGUCUACACGGGACGCCAUCUGAGAAGUGCCCCUUGGAAGAUGCUCAGAGCUGUCCAGCAGUGCUGGUCUUUAGCACCCCAGUCUUGCCUCUUUAGAUCUACAUCUUCAUCUCUGAUUUAAGUCCAUCUCCUCCCUUGCUCCUCUGCUAUCUGAUCCCUAGCCAGGCAAGAGGCUCAGGGGAAAUGCAAUAAGAAGGAAGCAAACUCUGCUUUUAUUCCUCCCUCUGCCCUGAGCUUGCGUGUCAGGAAGCCAUUGGGAUCUGUCUCCAAGUCACUUCCUGCCCACUCCCUCUUCUGGGGUCGGGAAGGAGGAAGGUGAAGGAUGAGGACAAAUGCUCCAGCUCAUUGGUUGCUCUUGUCCUCCUGGACCUUUGGUGGGUGUUGCUUCUCCGGCCAACACUGAUGGGUGGGCUUGAGUGACUUCCCGGUGCAGGUGCAGGAAGGGCUCUUACAAGGGCUAUCUUAUUUCGUUUCCUGUUGCAAUGUCAAGAUGCUUGAAACAGGGUGAUUUAUUUUUUUAAAAAAUGGAGUUGAUUUGCAUUGGAGUAAAUGCUAGUCAGUGCCUAGGAAAGCUUGUUCCAUCCAUGAGAGAAGGAGGACUCUAAGACGGUGAUAAUGAAGGAAACGGAGAGGGAAAACUGGCCUCUUCCCUUUUCUCCAGCCUGUAUGUGUGUAGAGUGAACUUGCUUAUAAAAUAAAACAAUGCACCAAUAAAACACCUGAAGAAAACCUCUGAAAAAGGAUAGACGGGUAACCUACCCCAUACACUCCCCCUGCUUGUAAGUGUGGUAUGGCCUCCAUGUGUCCCAGCCCCCUGCCUCGAGGAGCACUUCAGUAAUAAAAUAUACAAAACCUU